AUAGAUACCCUGAGAAUGCUUUCGAAAGGGUGAUCUGAAACACAGUGUGACUCCAAAUCUCUAUCCAUGGUUGACGGAGGGCUCCAGAGUGGCUGAAAAGCUGCCUCGUGGCCGCCCAGAGAGGCUCAGGCAGAAGCCCGGCCCCAGGGGGUGCCCGAGGGGCCCUCACAGGUCACCAGGCUCCUUGUCGUGCCUCCGGGUCUGCUGGUGAGGGGCCUCGGGCGCCCUCGGGCUUCUCCUAGGCGCCUGCAGCCCGGAGCCCGAGCCGGGGCUGGCGGAGGCCAGGGGCCCGCAGACAGAAGGAAGACAGAUCCCUGCUGAAGCCAGGAGCUUUCUGUCAUUUCCUACUCUCCUCUGGAAUGUUUCCAAGGCUCAGACUCAGUGAGGUACGAACCCGUGGACCGGGGCUCCUGUGACAGUCAUACUGCGUCAGAGCAGACCGACUGUAUGAACAAGAGCUGGUCCACCAUGGUGAUUAAGAGCACAGACUGGGUAUGGCUUUUGACUCCAUUUGCUG